rnacentral:rRNA from 1 species
AUACGGAGGGUGCGAGCGUUGUUCGGAAUUACUGGGCGUAAAGCGGGUGUAGGCGGUGGAUCAAGUCAGAUGUGAAAGCCCUCGGCUCAACCGAGGAAGUGCAUCUGAAACUGGUUCACUAGAGUACGGGAGAGGAGAGUGGAAUUCCCAGUGUAGAGGUGAAAUUCGUAGAUAUUGGGAGGAACACCGGUGGCGAAGGCGGCUCUCUGGAACGAUACUGACGCUGAGACCCGAAAGCGUGGGGAGCAAACAGGAUUAGAAACCCCAGUAGUCC